rnacentral:sRNA from 1 species
UGAGUAAGCGUUCUCAUGUCUCCUUUUGAACACAACAAACCUCUAAAAUCUCUUUUUACUCUACAUAUCCUUUUUUUUUAAUGAAUUAUAUUUAGACGAUUUUGCCCUUAUCAAUAUUAAAAAAUAAAUUAAACAUAAAUUAAAAUUAAAAACAGAAAAACAAAAAAUAGAAACAAAAAAAUUCGUUAACUACAUACUUCUCCGGCGAGUCCGAGGAGCUCUACAUUGUUGUCGUUUAUUACAAGCUGCGUUGAGCUACGAAGUCCAGCUAUGUAUCUAGUAGAACAAUCCAAAAGCUUUCAAAUAGGAUUUACAUAUUUUGAAAUUCAAUCCAAUUAGAUUUAGAUUAUUGUAUUUUAGGUAAUUGAUAUA